rnacentral:rRNA from 1 species
UACGGGGGGAGCAAGCGUUGUUCGGAUUUACUGGGCGUAAAGGGCGCGUAGGCGGCCACCGCAAGUCGGUUGUGAAAUCUCCGGGCUUAACCCGGAAAGGUCAAUCGAUACUGCGGGGCUAGAGUGCAGAAGGGGCAACUGGAAUUCUCGGUGUAGCGGUGAAAUGCGUAGAUAUCGAGAGGAACACCUGCGGCAAAGGCGGGUUGCUGGGCUGACACUGACGCUGAGGCGCGAAAGCUAGGGGAGCGAACGGG